rnacentral:rRNA from 1 species
UACGUAGGGUGCAAGCGUUGUCCGGAUUUAUUGGGCGUAAAGAGCUCGUAGGCGGUCUGUCGCGUCGGAUGUGAAAACCCAGGGCUCAACCCCGGGCUUGCAGUGGAUACGGGCAGGCUAGAGGCAGGCAGGGGAGAACGGAAUUCCCGGUGUAGCGGUGAAAUGCGCAGAUAUCGGGAGGAACACCGGUGGUGAAGGCGGUUCUCUGGGCCUGUACUGACGCUGAGGAGCGAAAGCGUGGGGAGCGAACAGG